rnacentral:rRNA from 1 species
UCUGCCGUGAAAUCNUCUGGCUUAACUGGGGGCGUGCGGUGGGUACGGGCUGACUUGAGUGCGGUAGGGGAGACUGGAACUCCUGGUGUAGCGGUGGAAUGCGCAGAUAUCAGGAAAAACACCGGUGGCGAAGGCGGGUCUCUGGGCCGUUACUGACGCUGAGGAGCGAAAGCGUGGGGAGCGAACAGGAUUAGAUACCCUGGUAGUCCACGCUGUAAACGUUGGGCACUAGGUGUGGGGGCCACCCGUGGUUUNUGCGCCGUAGCUAACGCUUUAAGUGCCCCGCCUGGGGAGUACGGCCGCAAGGCUAAAACUCAAAGGAAUUGACGGGGGCCCGCACAAGCGGCGGAGCAUGCGGAUUAAUUCGAUGCAACGCGAAGAACCUUACCAAGGCUUGACAUGCACGGCGGCACUGCAGAGAUGUGGUGGCAUUUAGUUGGUCGUGUGCAGGUGGUGCAUGGUUGUCGUCAGCUCGUGUCGUGAGAUGUUGGGUUAAGUCCCGCAACGAGCGCAACCCUUGCCCUAUGUUGCCAGCACGUGAUGGUGGGGACUCGUGGGGGACUGCCGGGGUUAACUCGGAGGAAGGUGGGGAUGACGUCAAAUCAUCAUGCCCCUUAUGUCUUGGGCUUCACGCAUGCUACAAUGGCUGGUACAGAGGGUUGCGAUAUCGUGAGGUGGAGCGAAUCCCUUAAAGCCAGUCUCAGUUCGGAUUGGGGUCUGCAACUCGACCCCAUGAAGGUGGAGUCGCUAGUAAUCGCAGAUCAGCAACGCUGCGGUGAAUACGUUCUCGGGCCUUGUACACACCGCCCGUCACGUCACGAAAGUUGGUAACACCCGAAGCCCAUGG